GGACUACUGGGGUAUCUAAUCCCGUUCGCUCCCCUAGCUUUCGCGCCUCAGCGUCAGAAGAGAUCCAGCACGUCGCUUUCGCCACCGGCGUUCCUUCCAAUAUCAACGCAUUUCACCGCUCCACUGGAAGUUCCACAUGCCCCUACCUCCCUCAAGACUACCAGUAUCCAAGGCAAUUUUCCGGUUAAGCCGAAAGAUUUCACCCCGGACUUUGCAGCCCGCCUACGCGCCCUUUAAGCCCAGUGAUUCCGAACAACGUUUGCACGGUUCGUCUUACCGCGGCUGCUGGCAC
rnacentral:rRNA from 1 species